rnacentral:misc_RNA from 1 species
GAUGAAGAACGCAGCGAAAUGCGAUAAGUAAUGUGAAUUGCAGAAUUUAGUGAAUCAUCGAAUCUUUGAACGCACAUUGCGCCCCCUGGUAUUCCGGGGGGCAUGCCUGUCCGAGCGUCAUUACAACCCUCAAGCUCAGCUUGGUGUUGGGCCCCGCCGCCCCGGCGGGCCCUAAAGUCAGUGGCGGUGCCGUCCGGCUCCGAGCGUAGUAAUUCUUCUCGCUCUGGAGGUCCGGUCGUGUGCUCGCCAGCAACCCCCAAUUUUUUUCAGGUUGACCUCGGAUCAGGUAGGGAUACCCGCUGAACUUAAGCAUAUCAAUAAGCGGAGGA